GACGAACGCUGGCGGCGUGCUUAACACAUGCAAGUCGAACGGAAAGGCCCUGCUUUUGUGGGGUGCUCGAGUGGCGAACGGGUGAGUAACACGUGAGUAACCUGCCCUUGACUUUGGGAUAACUUCAGGAAACUGGGGCUAAUACCGGAUAGGAGCUCCUGCUGCAUGGUGGGGGUUGGAAAGUUUCGGCGGUUGGGGAUGGACUCGCGGCUUAUCAGCUUGUUGGUGGGGUAGUGGCUUACCAAGGCUUUGACGGGUAGCCGGCCUGAGAGGGUGACCGGCGACAUUGGGACUGAGAUACGGCCCAGACUCCUACGGGAGGCAGCAGUGGGGAAUAUUGCACAGUGGGGGGAAGCCUGAUGCAGAAACCCCGCGUGCGGGAUGACGGCCUUCGGGUUGAAAACCGCUUUCGCCUGUGACGAAGAGGGAGUGACGGUAAUGGGUAAAGAAGCACCGGCUAACUACGUG
rnacentral:rRNA from 1 species